UACGUAGGGGGCUAGCGUUGUCCGGAAUCAUUGGGCGUAAAGAGCGUGUAGGCGGUCCGGUAAGUCCGCUGUGAAAGUCGGGGGCUCAACCCUCGAAUGCCGGUGGAUACUGUCGGGCUAGAGUACGGAAGAGGCAAGUGGAAUUCCUGGUGUAGCGGUGGAAUGCGCAGAUAUCAGGAGGAACACCUAUAGCGAAGGCAGCUUGCUGGGACGUUACUGACGCUAAGGCGCGAAAGCGUGGGGAGCGAACAGG
rnacentral:rRNA from 1 species